rnacentral:lncRNA from 1 species
CAUAAUAGAUCCCGGUGCUCAUCCCACGCCUGACGUAGAAGCCGUCCUCUUUCUUCCUACUGUAUCCCAUAGAGCAGGUGACGGAUGCUUGUUUCCAGUCUUCGCUGCCACAUUAAUGUCUCUGUCUCCAAGCCCAAACGUGGACCUGAGUAUCCCGUGCAGUCAUAUUUCAGAGCCCAGGCAGUAAUACUGAUCUAGAUUUAUGAGUGCAUCUCUACUGUGUAACAUGGUUGAGUGUGUUGC